CAAUAGCGUAUAUUAAAGUUGUUGCAGUUAAAAAGCUCGUAGUUGGAUUUGUGGCGUACGGUGUGUUCCGGGCACUUGUUGUCUGAGUAACCUGCUGUUGCCAUCCUUGGGUGGAACCUGUGUGGCAUUAGGUUGUCGUGCAGGGGAUGCCCAUCAUUUACUGUGAAAAAAUUAGAGUGUUCAAAGCAGGCUUAUGCCGUUGAAUAUAUUAGCAUGGAAUAAUGAGAUAGGACUUUUUUGCUAUUUUGUUGGGUUGCGCAAAGAGGUAAUGAUUAAUAGGGACAGUUGGGGGUAUUCGUAUUCCAUUGUCAGAGGUGAAAUUCUUGGAUUUUUGGAAGACGAACUACUGCGAAAGCAUUUACCAAGGAUGUUUUCAUUAA
rnacentral:rRNA from 1 species